GAAGUCAGUGUGGAACCUUCAAAUGCAUAUAAGCUUAUUCUGUAUCAUUCAAGUUUAUUAAAAGAAAGACCAAACAACCAAAAAAGCCCCAGUAAUAAAAUCACUGCCUUUACUCCUGAUUUUAUGAAGAAAAACUGACCUGAAAUAGACUUAGAACUUCACUGCUUCCAUGAAGACAGAAAAGAAGUCCCACAAGGAUUUUCUGAGCGCAACCAUGACCAGCGCACUGCAGAAAAUACAAAGGAGGCCAAUGUACCCGGAACGCUUCACGCCUGGAAGGUGACACGCAUACAGAGUGGAGAGCGAGCCUACAGAAAAGUUGAUGACUCAGUUUGUAUCUGGCACGCAUACCAAACCACAGAGUUUUCUCCAGUCAUUUCUGUAGCAAACUUAAUAAAUAGCUGAAAUGAUACAGCUUUCCUAGAAAGAUAGACUUUCCUGAUUCUGAGUGAUGAAACAACAUUUUUCUUGUACAUUUUUUUUUGCCGAGAAAUUUCACACUAAGGGUGUUUAGCUGCUUUGAACAUGGUGGCUCACUGAACACAACCUUACAUUUUCUUCCCAAGCAAUCUUGUCCCCCUCUGGGACUGAUGUUGUCACAUCCACUGUGAGCGCCUCCUCUGAUUUUUCUAACUUCUGUGUUCAGAAUUCUGAACACUAAUUUAUUUCAUUCAUACUCCUAA